CUUGAAUUAAACAACAUCACUCUCUCAGCAUAGAAAGAUAAUGUGAAAUUAUUACACCCAUCAGCAGGCUACACCACAAUCAUGUAUUUACCCCAGAAGUUGAAACCAUCUGUUUCAAGUCCAGGAGUUCUCUCCAGCCAUUUCUGGAAUACAAAAAUAUGAAUAAAGUGAAUGUCUUAGAUAUGUCUAACAGACACUUGAGCUACCACAGGUAUAGCACAGAAACCGGAGGGAGGGUAUCUGAUUGGACACUCCAGUGGGUUAGCAGUAAAGGAGAUGAGUCUAGCGGAAGA